GAUAUAUCUAUCUUACAAAAACAAAUGGUUUUUGCCUGAUCCGACGGUUUUGAAUGUGCCGUAUUGAGCAAUCGAUGGUUCCAAUUGCUUAUAAUUUGCUCUCAAAUUUCAAAAGAUAAAUCAUGGCUGAAAAUGUUUCCUCAGAAGUCUCAGAAGUGCCAAGGCCAGGUUUUACUUCGGUUUUUUCUCCAUUCAAUUUUCAUCCGUUACGCAAAUAAAAGAUCCCCGUUACCAUCUACCACCGGUCCACCACCAUAAUUUCUUCCUUUCAAUGAGCCCUAAUCCCCUUUAAAAAAAAAUCUCGUUUACUCCAGUUGCCAAAUUAGUGUUCUUCUUCGACCUAAUCUCUAUCGUUUUUUCAUACGUUACGGAACAAAAAAUUCCUCAUCAACAGGUCCAUUAUUUCUGCUAAUAAAUUCCUAGAAAUGUUAAAAACAGGUGAUCUUCCGAGGGUUCUCAGUUUCCUUAUAAACCGUACUCUCUACACUGUCAAUGCUGCAUUUUGUUGGUAGAGGACGUAUUGAGAAACCAUUCAUCUCAGGAAAAUCAUUUACAUCAACACUGAACUACUAUGUGUAAAGCUCAUUUGUGCAGGUCUUUAAUAUAUGGCUUUGCAUUUUCAUUUUUCCAGUAUUAUUUGGUGUUUGGAAAAAUGGGUUGCCAAUGUUAGAGAAACUAAUCAAUUGGAUCCUUCAUGUAAUUUGCAAUACACAAUUAUACAUUGUGAUGGAUACAGAGACUUUUGCUUUGGGUUGCUUCUUAUCAUCAAUAUUCGUAGUGGGCGUUUUGCAGGUAAUCAACAUUUGUACGGCUGUAGGAAGCUUGAUUGUUUCCGACGCUGAUUACCUUGGAGGUUCAAGCUAUGAGUUUCAAAUUUAUACAAUCGAAAUGCCAUGAAAUUUCAUUAUCAUUCACAGAACAGAGAUACACAUUCUCCAAAUUUCAGGCGUGCAAGGGAGCUAUCCCGUGUAUUACGGGCAUGCACAUUGCAAUGAACAUGAAAGAAGCUGAAACAGAAGAGAAACUAACAAAUUGAUAAAUAAUUAUGCUCUUCAGAAGUUUGGAUAAAUGCUCUUCUUGAUUCUCACCGACUAUUCCAUCCUCAUAUUCUUCUUCUUUUACUUGUUGAUCGCUGUAGCCGUGGUGGGAUGAUAUUUAGUGACGACAAAGCUUAUAAAAUUAUUGUCGUGAUAGAAUAGUCGAUGGGAAUCAAGAACAAAAGUCUGAAACCAUUCACGUCAAGAGCAAUUCCAUAGAGAGAGUUCUCAAGAGGUCCAUCAUAUCUCGAGCAUCAAAGAUCUACUGAACCUCCUAUGUUGGCACUCACAGAAUCGAGUUAAACCAAACACGUUUGAAUUCUCUUUGAUGUCUUUACAUGUCUGUUUUUAAUAGAUGGUGGAAAUAGGAAGGCAUGAGUAAACUUAAAAGUGACCAUUCCAAUAUGAGGAAGUGAACAGAUCGUAAGGGCUUCUAUUAGGAGCUCUUCCCUGUGGAUCCAAUGUGAAGUCCUUAGAUUUAUGCGAAACUAUGAGGCUGGGAAAUGAGGAUCCAGAAAAUGUGGAAUUCGAUUUCUUGCUUAAGUUUGUUCAAAUGGUUUCCCAGAUUCGCACCACCUACAAAACUUUCAAACAUAUAGGGGAGGUUGAAGAAGGUAAACCCUGGAUGAUCUUUCAAAAGCGGAACAAAUUAGAUUUCAUGGGGAUUAAUGAUGUCACCAGCUUAGAUGUGUUAAUGCUCGAUGAUAAUGUAAGUAACGCCAACGUCUUUUUUUAAAUUAUCUAUAUUGCAGUCUUAUUUAAGUUUCUUAUACAAAUAUUUUUGAAACUGUAAGUCUGUGAUAGAUUUCUUGCAAUUUUUUGUUUCCUAAAAUAACUAAAUAUUAUGUGUACAAAGAAACGUGCUUUAUUUGUACAUUGUACAACUUCAAAUGAACAUGGAUGUACAACAAUUGCUUGAGCUAUGACCCUUUGCGUUGUUUAGUAGUUUCAGUACUUUCUUGCACCAAUGGUGUUAUGCAUUAGAAAGUCUACUAAAAUCUGAUGCUAAUUGAUAACGGGUUUCGGAAAAUAAGUCUGAUUUAUCAAGGUGGACAUUGAAGUAUAGGGCAUUCUGUUAAUAUAUAGAAUUUUCUCCGCUUGCUCGCAAUAUGCACGUCAGGAUUCAUUCAACUUGAGCCUAUCAUUUAUUUAAAUUUUGAAAUGCUUAAGUGAUUUAUUUUUUUGCUAAUGGUGCCUGAUUUUUCUUGCAUCCCACCCAAUCAAAAAAUCCACUGGCGAUUUAGUUAACAUGUAUUCUAAAGUCUGGCUAACAGGUAUUCGAACGAUGUUCGCUAGCAACAGUAGGGUGUGAUAAAAAUUAGGUAUAUUUUUGGGCAUAUUUAGUUAAUUCACAGAUUUUGUUAAGUGAAGUCUAUUAAUCUUCCAUGGUUGAAAAUUAGUUCAUAAGCCUGUCAAAAAGAUUUUGUAGAAAAAUUCACAGGCUGCUUACAAAUCAUGCUGGCAUUCGAACACAAUUAUAUAUAUAUCUCUGUCCAAGAUUAACAUGUCUAAGCAUGACACUUUCUCAGCUUUCAUGAAUCAUUUUGUUAGAUUACAGAGUCGUGAUUUCUUCGAAAAGUCCUACGUCGUGCACCAUGGAAGUGGAAAACUUUCCCUUAUUAUUCAUGUUUCCCCCCUUAACUAUAUGAGUAUCGUUACUAUUGGUAUGAGAUAAACUGCAGUUACUCUACCUUUGGCAUUCAUUGGAAUUUGAACUUCUGCAAUUUUAGAAACUUCUCUGCAUUUUUCUUUGUUAACAAUUAUUUUUUC